rnacentral:rRNA from 1 species
AUUGAACGCUGGCGGCAGGCCUAACACAUGCAAGUCGAGCGAGCGGCGGACGGGUGAGUAAUGUAUGGGGACUGCCCGAUAUAGGGGGAUAACUACUGUAAACGGUCGCUAAUACCGCAUACUCUCGUAUCACCCAUAUGGGAUUAGCUCGUCGGUGGGGUAAUGGCUCACCUAGGCGCCGAUACCUCGCUGGUCUGAGAGGAUGAUCAGCCACACUGGGACUGAGACACGGCCCAGACUCCUACGGAGGCAGCAGUGGGGAAUAUUGCACAAUGGGCGCAAGCCUGAUGCAGCCAUGCCGCGUGUAUGAAGAAGGCCCUAGGGUUGUAAAGUACUUUCAGGCGGGAGGCGUUACCGACAGAAGAAGCACCGGCUAACUCCGUGCCAGCAGCCGCGGUAAUUC